UUGCUAUUGUGGCUGGUGAAGUCAGGGGCCUGCUGGUCAGACGAGCACCAAGCUGCCUCCUCCCUGUUCUCUCGAUCCCAUGAGGCGCUCUUGCAGUGGGUCUGGAGGCCAACCUCACACAGGUAUCUUUCUUUAGUUUUAGAAUAGACUUUAUUCAGGGUGGAGGUGGUGAGAACGGUCUCUGGGAUCAAAGUCCUGAGCAGCGAAUCGAUGCAUUCCAAGAAGAAAUCAUUUCGAGGCCAAUAACGACUCAACCCAAGCUGAAAACAGUCCCCUUGGUGCAUCGGGAGGGACCUUUAGGCAAGUGGAAUCUUGCCAGGGAAUUGAUUCAGAGCAAAUCUGUGGCGGCCCAGAGGUGCCGGAGGGGAGUUUCAGAAACAGUCAGCACCGGGAGGAAGGCGCAACAGUUUGCAGGAGUUGCCUCACUCAUGCUUUGAAGUUCAUCCUCUGCACAAUGCUGCUCAUCUCUGCGGCUCCGAAACAGCACGCAGGCAUCAGAGAUGGUCACAUCAGGAGAUCAGGAGACCCUGGAGACAUUCGACUCAAUCUGUUUCCUUGUGCAGGUUCUGCUGCUACCAGAACAACAACCACGAUGACGAUGACAGUAAGCCAUGGCAGCAGACCAGGAGAGUCUGGACUGAGUUAAGCAUCAUCAGUAGAACUGAUUUUUAGGUCGUCAUCCUGAGAUGCUGAGGCCUCCUUGAUUUUAACUUGAAUGCUCACAUAAUCGGCAACAUAGAACUCAAACAGACCAUUUGUUGUCUCUUAAUAUGUGCUUUCCCUCCUUUUCCUGCAUUUCAAAUUGGGUACCUUGGAACCUAGACUUGUGGCUUCCCUGACACAGGACUGUGACACUGCUGAUGGCCCCAAAUGCAGGUGGCUUUCCUGACUCUCUCCUUGGGCCUUCUCCUCGUCCCUUUGGCUGGUUAUAAUGUGACACACCCCGUGGGCCAGAGGAUGCGGGGACGCAGAAAUGGCAGAGCGUUCUGGAGGCCAGAAGUCUGAAAUCAGUCUCACUGGACUAGUGUCAGUUGGCAGAGCUGAUAUUUUCUGGAAGCUCUAGGGAAGACUCUAUUUCCUUGCCUUCCUUAGCUUCUGAAGGCCGCCCACACUGCUUGGCCCACGGCCCCUCCUUGAGAUGCUACAACAUCACGUCUCCUGCAGCCAAACCUCCCUCUGCCUGCCUCUCAAAAGGACCUCUGUGGUGACAGCAUCCACCCAGAAUGUGCUCCGUUACUUUCGAGCUGCUGCAUACGCUGUCUUGCACAUCUGGGAUUACUGCAUCAGGUUCGCAAAACCAAUGAACAACAACAAAACGUUUUGAAGUGUGCCUUUAGCAUUCAGCAAGGCACAAACACCUGUUUAUGUGUGUUCUCUAGUGAUUGUUUUGCACAUUAUCAAUAAGUAGUGUGCAAUCACAUCAUUAUAAUGAAUUCACAGGAAUGUCCUAGAUGGGAAAGUCACUUUGAGGAAGUCCGCUGAAACACUGACAGCUCUCACAGGCCAUAGUUCUCAAAUGGGGACUAUUUUGCCCCUGGGGGAUAUUUGGCAAUGCUUAGAGAUGUUUUCUGGUUGUCAUGACUGGGGGAGGGGCGCCAUUGGCAUCUAGUAGAGGCCCGGAUGCUGCUAACCAUUCACGGUGCACAGGAAAGACCACGACGAAUUAUUCAACCCCUAUGCAGUAGUGCUGGCGUUGACGCUGCCCAAGAACAAGUGAGCACUCCUUCCGAUCGGCCCUCUUCCCAAUCGCUGUGGGCAACAGGAAACCAAAGUGUCAUCACCAGCAACCCUGGCUUGUCUUUCUGGACCCUUCCUCCUUGAUCUGGGACAGCCUUCUCAGGAGAAGCUACAUGGUUUUUAAAGAGUAAUGAAAAGAAACACUACCAUUUAGACUCGGGUACCUUCACCCCUACUUCUUCAACCUCAUUUGUUGUGCUAUCAGGUCAACGCAUGAGGUGUGCAGGGGCAGUCCACAGGAUGACGACAGUGUGCCGUGGGAGCCCGGCCCACUACAGACCUCCCUUGGUCCCUGAAGAGACUUGCUUGAGGCUGGCAGGUGCCAGGGCAGGAAGGGAUCCAGCAGGCUGGGCCCUCCUUUCACAUUUUUAUUAAGAAAAAAAAAUUUUUAAUGAUUAUUUAUUUUUGAGAGACAGAGCGUGAGCA